rnacentral:tRNA from 1 species
GCCUUCGUGGCGUAGUGGUCAGCACGCUCGGCGCGUAUUCGAGAGGUCCGUGGUUCGAGUCCCGGCAAGGGUA